UUGAGCCAGGCAGUAGGAUCAUGACUAAGAGAGGUAUUCACUUCUGCCAAGCCUUCGAUUUCCCCAAGAAUAUUAACAACCGAGCCGAGGACUCAACAGACGGAAAGUGGCCGUUGAAGAGAAUAAACUAGGAAGACAGGAAGGGAUACAUUUGGAAGAGGCCAAAAGGAUCUUAGUUCCCUGACCAGGGAUUGAACCUGGGCCAUGGCAGUGAAAGCGCUGAGUCCCAACUACUGGACCGCCAGGAGAACUCCCCCAGGGUUUGAGGUGUAUCAAGAGGAGAACCAUUGAAGGUCUCGACCAUUUGUCCUUGGCUCCCAUAUGCAAAAAAGGCAAUGCAUUUCAUUAUCUGUGAUGACAAUAGAUGGUCAAAAUCUAUCUGAUUAGGCUGAUUUGGAGCUUCACUUCAUUGUACACAAGAAUACUUUAACUUUUCAAGUUAUUUUGGUGCUGAUAUUCAGGUAUAAAUUUGGCUUCUGGCAAUAAGUCAGUUGAAGAAGAAAAACAACCGCUAUUUGUGGUUGAAACUGAGUGGGACCCUGCGGGAGCCUCCUGGUUAUAAAAGCCCCUCCGUGUCCCCCAUUUCUUGUUUGUAGAAAAAGUCUUUAGUCUCUUAGGCCUUCCCUGAGUUACAAAGAGCAGGAGCAUGCAGUUACUGAGUACGUAACUACUGUAGUAGUUAUUUCCAUUUACAAUAAAUGUCUCUACUGCUGCUUUACUUAGUGAGGGAAUGCAGAAAGAAAAGGAAGAUAAUUCAAACAAGAAAACGACAAUAGUUCAGUGAUAAAAGAGACCUAGUUCCUCCUCAAAGGGACAUAUAUCAGAAUCUGACCGAUACCUUUGAGUAGUUCUUCAGUAGCUAGGUCCCCCUGCCACACACACACACACACACACAACCAGGUGGAGGAAAGUGACUCAAUGCUGAGCAUAAGCACACAGACCGCAGACUGUUUGGAACCAGAAGGUUGAUGACUGAGAUUCCUGAAACACCACCCUGUCACCUCCUCACCACCAAGCAAUCAGAAGAAAGUCAUGAAUCCUGCAGCCCUCACCUCCAAAUGUUGCCUUUAAAUAUGCUUCCCUGAAAACCAUCUGGGGAGUUUGUUCUUUUGAGCAUAACCUGCCCAUACUCCUUGCUUGGUGCUUGUAAUAAAUGCUGUACUUUUCCUUUGCCAUAAGCUGGUGUCAGUAAAUUGGCUUUGCUGCAUAGAGGGUGAGUGAACCCAAAGUUCAGUCCAGUAACAUAGUUGAUAUGAUAAAUAUUUGAAACAAGACCCUUUUCGAGAAAGUCUGUGAUUUAAGGCAUUCAAGUCUUCCUGAUUUUUUCAUCUCUCUCCUGCUCUUGGAAAGUGCAGUUUGAGUGUGAUUAGUGGAAGGAUGAGAAAUUGCAGAGGACAGAGUGCUGGGGGUUUAUAAGGGGAAAUGGGAUAUGGAGAAAAGCGACUGGGAGUCCUGAAGCACUUGGUCUAGUUCCAAUUCUGCUAAUAACUAUAAUUAUCACCAAAUGAGCACCUACUACAUGCAAGGCACUGCAUUAGGUGCUUCCACAAACGGAACUGCAUUUAAUUAAGGCAUAAUUUUUAUCUGCUAUGAUCUUAUUUAAGAAAGCAGUUAUUUUUUUCUUCUUCAAAUAAUUAAACAUUGCUGAGAGUGAGUUUUGUUUUAAAUCUAAGUUCAGGACUAACUAGUUCCAUUUAGGGGAUUAAAGCAAAUCUGAGUGAUUGCACAUAAUGUUUGUUUUAUAACUACUGACUGUGAAGAUGAAUGAACUAUAAUGGACUUGAGUCUACCAGUGAUCAAGGAGAAAACUGCUUAUUUGUAAAAGUCCAUGAAUUGUUAUCAUAGUUAAUAAAUUAUUUCUAGUCUACUAAAUGUUGUAUUGUGUCAUCAAUAAAAUUUAGUAUGUGUCUUUCUAGAAACCAUUGAACCUAAAAUAGGUCCGACUAACAGAAAUGUAAUAAUUUUUUGUAAUAUAGUCAACACACUGAAACAAAGCAGGACCCUGUGGGCCCUCCCUGGUACCAAAGGCCCUCUGUGUCCCCAUUUCUUAUUUGUAGGAAAAAGGCUUCAGCCUCCUAGACCUUUCCUGAGUUCCGAAGGGCAGAUUCAAGCAGUUACUAAUUAGGGAAGGGAGGGAAUGCAGAAACAAAGGGAAAGCAGUCAAGAAACCAUAGUGCAGCAAUAAAGCAGAGUCCUAGUUCUUCCUCCAGGGAAAUACAGACCAAUGUAUCUUUGAGUCCUUCU